rnacentral:tRNA from 1 species
GCAGGGAUUCAUAGUAACGUGAGUUGCGAAACUGAGGCUCCUGUGGCGUAGGCCUUCGUGGGUUCAAAUCCCACCCCCCGCACCA